AUUUUAUCAGAUACAUUGCAACAAUUGAUGGUUCAGUUCAUAAGAAGCACUUAUUAGCCAUAAGUGAGGGGACAACCAUUGAGGGCGUCCAUUGUAUACCUGAUAGUGUUGAGUUACUUCCACGCAGGCAAGAUGUACAAAGAGACCGUCUUCGCAUUGUGGUAAACUUAUCUGUAUUGAUCUAAUAAUAUCAGUUCAACUGCCCAAUAUUGGUUGUAAUUAUCACAUUCUCUGGCAUCUCACUUGAACUACACCAAUCAAUCUGCUGGUGCAUAAGGUUGAUGAAGUUUCCUUUUGAAUGCAACUUUAAAGACGAAGGCUGGCAUGCAUAAUUUAAUUUCUUUAUCAUAUUUAGUCAUCAAUUCAUUCAUGAUUAUCACAUUUUAGUCCGUUGAAUUAUUUACCCUGUCUACUUGUUAGAGCAUGUGAUUUGUUCAACGGGCCUACUUGAGAUUGCUUGUUUCAUUUAAUCUGGAUACUUGUAGGUUCAUGACGGGAGGAAACAUGAAGUUCGUGAACUUGUGAAAAGUGCUGGACUUGAGGUUAGCUUUAAUGAUAGAUUUCCUCCCUUUAACAUCAUCCAAAAGGCCAUAACUACUCAUGCUGAGGCAUAUGUGAAAUCAUAAAUAUUUUGUAUGAUAAAAGAAAAUCAUGGUUCAUGGAAUUCUGUAAACCCGAUUCCAGCCAAACUGAUUAGUGUUUCUCUGGUUCAGAUUUCUUAGGAGUUAUGCUACAUUUAACUUACAUAUAGUGUGAUGCUACUUCAGUUUCACAAGAAUUUUGAUUUUGCCCAUACUUCAUAUAUGGUUUGAUCACACUGAUUAUUUUUCUUCACAUCUUUUGGGAUUUUGGCUUGUGUUCUUAUUUUCAGCUUCUGGGUAUUUUAGGGAGUUUUCUUGUAUGAUAUCUAUAUUAAUAUCAUACCUUGUGGUUUUAUUUUCGUCUAUGGAUAAAUAACUUCAGACAUUUCUUUCUUGUUUCUGUUUCAUAUUUCAGAUAUAUUCAUUGAAGCGAGUUCGAAUUGGUGGUUUUAAACUUCCAUCAGACCUUGGGUAAUAAUUUUCCUUAGUUCUGUAGGGAGUCAUUCUUCAGUAGUUGCAGUUGUAUUCAGAUACAAUUCUAAUGAUCUUCCAUUUGAAUUAUUUUUUACUUCACACAGUUUUCAACUGUUGUAUUACCAGGGUAGGGAAGUACAUUGAUCUAAAUCCAGCAAAUCUGAGCGCGCUGGGGUGGAAGAGUUGAAGUUGCUUCUUUGAUGCCGGAGUUGGAAACAUUGUGCAAGCUUAUUCAGAUUUAAAACAGCUCUGAAGCUAUUAUCAAAUAGUUGGCUGAUUCGUAAUCGAUUUGAGCUGUUGAAUUCUGAUACCAUUCCUAGGGAGGCAGAGCACACUGAUACUCUUUGCAAGCCGCAAUCAAACAUAGCUAUAUAGUCUUAGAAGGUAUGUGAAAAGAUUUUAGGCUACUGAUAAGUGAAUGCAUUAGUUAGUGAAUUGCUGGUAUCUUCAAUGAAAGUUUUGUAGACGAUGACCCUGUAUAAAUUUGUGUUUAAAGUUUAAAACUAAUACAAAUUGAUAAAUUUGAGGAUAAUUUCCUGAAGUGUUUAAUUUCUUAUCACAAAAUUUAGUGCUAAGUUUGUAAUGCUGACUCUCAAUAGUGAUAAAAAUGUGAUUUUGGCAAAAAAUAAAGUAUGUCUCAUCAAUUGUACAUUUCCUAUGAUGCUCUCUUAACUAAAAAAUAAUGUAAUGAAUGAACUUGUAGUCCACAAGGAAAGCAUGUAACAGAAUGGUUUAUUGUUUGAGGAUUUUUUAUACUCUUAACAAAUCAUUAAUAAAAUAAAUGAUGAAAAAUGUAUGUAAAAAAUAAAUUUAAGUGUAGUUUUAACUAUGCUAAUCUUGGUGAUUAAUAUGUAUUAUCCCCUUAUAAACACUUUUUCAGCUGUAACAUCCUACAUAACCCUCAAUAAGUCUUUAGAUACAAAUAGGUCCAACAAUGAACUAAGUCACCUCAACAUUUAUUUAAAAUUUAAUUUGUUAUUUAUCUUAAUAAAUUUGGUUCAUCAAGUAACAAAUUAAUUGAGUCAAAAAAUUGAGUUUAAAUAAACGAUUCGAAAUUACAGUUUGACACAUUCCAACCGCUUAUAAUUAUCAGAAAAAUAUUUAAUUAUUAAAAUUUUAAUUUUAAUAUAUUUUUUAACUAAUAACAACAAGUAUUACAUGAAAUAUCAUACUUUUUCAAACACCAAAAUUUCCCCAUUCCCAACAUCAUUUAUAAUUUUUAAUAUCCUAAUAGCAGAUAAUCUCGUCUUUAUGUUGAUGGAGUAGUUUUAGGCUUUGACAAACCAUAAUUCUGUAAAUAUAUGCUAAUUAUAAGUUACCUCUCCAAAAGUAUAAAAAAAGUUCAAUUUAAUUCUCAGAUUUAAGAAAAUAAUAUAAUAGUAUUGUGUAUUAUGAGAUAUACAUUAGUUUCAUAUGUACAUGAGUUUGUUAACUAUUUUAGGAAAUAAAGAUAAUAUUCUAGAGAAACAAAUCCAUGUGAUUAUGGGAUUGUUUCUAAAUAUACAAGCCUAGUAUUAAUAGCAAGAUAAAGUAAGGAAUCAGAAUAAAAAUAUAGUAAAGAUAAUUUAAACAUUCCUAGAAUACUAGACAUCAACACAUUUUUGACACUCUCCCUCAAGUUGGUGAAUAAACAUUUUCCAUUCCCAAUUUGGAUAUAAUUCUUUCAAAGUUGUUGUUUAGCCCCUUAGUGAGUAUGUCUGCAAGUUAAUUUUGAUUAGAGAUAUAUGGUGUACAAAUCAAACUAUUACAAUUGGAUGAUAUGAACCGUGAUAAAGAUGAAAGUAAUGAAAGGAAGAAGGAUGUCUUUAUUGGUAUAUAAAAUGACCCUUUCAUUGGUUGAAAAUGAAAAUCAGUUCAGAUUGUAUACUUGAUUGUUUUCAGUUGCUUCAAGAAGAAGUUGUGAAGAGCUUAUUUUUGAUGGCAAGGUUACUGUAAAUGGGAACGUCUGUAAUACACCUCAGGUUUGUUUAAUUUAUCAUUCAUUUGAUUUGAUAUGUUUUGUUUUAUUAUUCUUAAUAGAGCAUUCAUUAUGUCAAAGAAUUAUUAAUCUUGAUAAUCGCUUCCUUUUUAUUAUUCAUCACGUCAUCAUGUAUAAAUUUUAGCUUUUUGCUUUGUGGCAUUGGCAGACCAGAGUUGAUCCUGCAAAGGAUGUUAUCUAUGUCAAUGGAAGCCGCCUUCCUAAGAGGCAGCCCCGAAAGGUGUAUUUUGCCUUAAACAAGCCUAAAGGGUAUGUAUGUUGCACAACUUGCACUUGCACACCUAUUCUCAAUGAAACAACUGUAUUUAUAAAAUGAUGCAAUUACAUUUUGACAGGUACAUAUGCUCAUCUGGGGAGAAGGAGUCUAAAUCUGUGAUAGGUCUAUUUGAUGAUUAUUUGAAGAAUUGGGUAUGUGCCACAUUGAGCUUUAUUGAUAUUUUACAAUCCGUUCAGUUUGGGAAGGGCAGAGUUAUGAUUCAAAUUCAGUUCUUUAUUAAUUCUGCAUGUCACUUUACCAGUUAUGGAAAGGCAUUGGGGUACUCUUUUGAGAUUAUAUAUUAUUUUCAUUCUCCCCUUCUGUAUCUCUGCUUGGUAAUUUAGGAGGAUAUUUUGUGCUCCACUUCUGUAUUCCUUUCCACAACUAAUAAAAUCUUUAUCACCAAUAAUUGUUUUGCUAGGAUAAAAAUCAUGCUGGAGUACCUGCACCACGGCUAUUUACUGUAGGCCGUCUUGAUGUUGCUACCACUGGGUUAAUUAUUGUGACUAAUGAUGGUAUGUGACUUGACGUGAAAGCAAUUUUAUCUGCAUUGAUUUAAUCGUAGUCCUGGGAUAAAUUAUAUCUAAACACGAACAGUUUUAUCUAAUACUUUAUCCAAUUAUUGUUAUUCACAGGAGAUUUUGCUCAAAAACUUACACAUCCAUCAACCAAAACAUCCAAAGAGUGAGUAGAUGAGUUUGGUUCUUGUAUUCCCCUCCCAUUAUUUUGGAUCAAUACUGCAAUUAUGGGAAUUUUCAACUUAUAAGAUUUUAGUUAAGAUCUUGUGGACAUUAUGUACAGGAAGUUUGGUUCAAAUAAUUUAGAUGAUGCUGUGUAUUCCGCAGUGUCUUACAGCUUGGAAUGAUUGAACAUUAUUAGGAUCUCCCUUACCCAAUUCAAUGUUUUAUUUUGUGAUUUAAUGCAUGGUUCAUAUUAUUUUUGGAUGUAGUUCUUCAUUCCUAUGAAUUUACAAAUUUUCUGAAACAUCACAUUCAUUUUAUCAGAUACAUUGCAACAAUUGAUGGUUCAGUUCAUAAGAAGCACUUAUUAGCCAUAAGUGAGGGGACAACCAUUGAGGGCGUCCAUUGUAUACCUGAUAGUGUUGAGUUACUUCCACGCAGGCAAGAUGUACAAAGAGACCGUCUUCGCAUUGUGGUAAACUUAUCUGUAUUGAUCUAAUAAUAUCAGUUCAACUGCCCAAUAUUGGUUGUAAUUAUCACAUUCUCUGGCAUCUCACUUGAACUACACCAAUCAAUCUGCUGGUGCAUAAGGUUGAUGAAGUUUCCUUUUGAAUGCAACUUUAAAGACGAAGGCUGGCAUGCAUAAUUUAAUUUCUUUAUCAUAUUUAGUCAUCAAUUCAUUCAUGAUUAUCACAUUUUAGUCCGUUGAAUUAUUUACCCUGUCUACUUGUUAGAGCAUGUGAUUUGUUCAACGGGCCUACUUGAGAUUGCUUGUUUCAUUUAAUCUGGAUACUUGUAGGUUCAUGACGGGAGGAAACAUGAAGUUCGUGAACUUGUGAAAAGUGCUGGACUUGAGGUUAGCUUUAAUGAUAGAUUUCCUCCCUUUAACAUCAUCCAAAAGGCCAUAACUACUCAUGCUGAGGCAUAUGUGAAAUCAUAAAUAUUUUGUAUGAUAAAAGAAAAUCAUGGUUCAUGGAAUUCUGUAAACCCGAUUCCAGCCAAACUGAUUAGUGUUUCUCUGGUUCAGAUUUCUUAGGAGUUAUGCUACAUUUAACUUACAUAUAGUGUGAUGCUACUUCAGUUUCACAAGAAUUUUGAUUUUGCCCAUACUUCAUAUAUGGUUUGAUCACACUGAUUAUUUUUCUUCACAUCUUUUGGGAUUUUGGCUUGUGUUCUUAUUUUCAGCUUCUGGGUAUUUUAGGGAGUUUUCUUGUAUGAUAUCUAUAUUAAUAUCAUACCUUGUGGUUUUAUUUUCGUCUAUGGAUAAAUAACUUCAGAC
rnacentral:lncRNA from 1 species